rnacentral:rRNA from 1 species
AGGACGAACGCUGGCGGCGUGCUUAACACAUGCAAGUCGAGCGGAAAGGCCCUUCGGGGUACUCGAGCGGCGAACGGGUGAGUAACACGUGAGCAACCUGCCCUUAGCUCCGGGAUAGCUCCGGAAACCGGAAUUAAUACCGGAUACGACCACGGCCGACAUCUGCUGUGGUGGAAAGGAUUCCGGCUAAGGAUGGGCUCGCGGCCUAUCAGCUUGUUGGUGGGUAACGGCCUACCAAGGCGACGACGGGUA